AUGGCCGGAGCUGAUCACCUCAUGAGGAGUCACAUCUUGCUCCUCCGACACAAGUCCAUCAACACCCCAUUGCAGGAUCCAGUUAUACAGAAUGCAACAUGCAAGAACAAGCUUAACCUGGGUAGGGUAAGGGUGGAAUGGCUUCUAAUCCAGAAUCUUGAACCUGUUCUUCAGAGCUCCAAAUGCCCUAUCAACCGUUACUCUAAGGCUGGAGUGUCUCAGAUUGAACAGCUCCUGUGGAGUCAUAGGAUAGUUCCUACCAAAGAACUUGUUCAGAUGGUAUCUAGUUUUCCUGAAGGGUGGAAGAACACCUGGCCGACAUGCAUAGCCAGCAUCUCCUAG
rnacentral:rRNA from 1 species